rnacentral:rRNA from 1 species
AGUGCAGGUGGUUGUAUAAGUCUGAAGUAAAAGGCAGUGGCUCAACCAUUGUGUGCUUUGGAAACUGUACAACUUGAGUGCAGAAGGGGAGAGUGGAAUUCCAUGUGUAGCGGUGAAAUGCGUAGAUAUAUGGAGGAACACCGGUGGCGAAAGCGGCUCUCUGGUCUGUAACUGACACUGAGGCUCGAAAGCGUGGGGGAGCAAACA